AAAAGUGAAAACUUAAAGGGACAUGCUUCUGUAAUAGUUGAAGCUCAAAACAGUGCCCCUUGUGGUAUUUUCAGCUUCACACCAUUUUUUGUUUCAAAAGAGUUCAUGUCUGAGUUUAGGUCACACAACAAAAACAAUGUGGAGCUGAAAACUACAAUGUAAAAAAAAAAUGUUUAAAAUAUUCUCAACAUAAAGAUAUUAGUUUCAUCAGUUUACAUUGAAAUGUUUGCUCAGACUGAUAUUAUUAAGUUUGGCCAACUUAAAAUUUUAAUUCAGAUCAACUCAGAAUUGCAAGUUCACUGAUAGUAACUUCAAAA